rnacentral:rRNA from 1 species
AGCUUGCUGCUUUGCUGACGAGUGGCGGACGGGUGAGUAAUGUCUGGGAAACUGCCUGAUGGAGGGGGAUAACUACUGGAAACGGUAGCUAAUACCGCAUAACGUCGCAAGACCAAAGAGGGGGACCUUCGGGCCUCUUGCCAUCAGAUGUGCCCAGAUGGGAUUAGCUAGUAGGUGGGGUAACGGCUCACCAAGGCAACGAUGCAUAGCCGACCUGAGAGGGUGAUCGGCCACAUUGGGACUGAGACACGGCCCAAACUCC